CCUACGGGUGGCAGCAGUGAGGAAUAUUGGUCAAUGGACGAGAGUCUGAACCAGCCAAGUAGCGUGAAGGAUGACUGCCCUAUGGGUUGUAAACUUCUUUUAUAUGGGAAUAAAAUGUUCCACGUGUGGGAUUUUGUAUGUACCAUAUGAAUAAGGAUCGGCUAACUCCGUGCCAGCAGCCGCGGUAAUACGGAGGAUCCGAGCGUUAUCCGUAUUUAUUGGGUUUAAAGGGAGCGUAGGUGGAUUGUUAAGUCAGUUGUGAAAGUUUGCGGCUCAACCGUAAAAUUGCAGUUGAAACUGGCAGUCUUGAGUACAGUAGAGGUGGGCGGAAUGCGUGGUGUAGCGGUGAAAUGCUUAGAUAUCACGAAGAACUCCGAUUGCGAAGGCAGUUCACUGGACUGCAACUGACACUGAGGCUCGAAAGUGUGGGUAUCAAACAGGAUUAGGUACCCUAGUAGUC
rnacentral:rRNA from 1 species